CGUCCAUCGCCCUUGCCGCCCCUGGGGCCGCGAGCGUGGCCUUGGGCCCAGGGUGUCCCGGACUCAGCACUGACGUUCCCGGAAAGAGCCCACGUUGAGUAGGAGCUGAGACCUGCAGGACACAGGAACUCCUCCCAGGGUCCUGGAUCCAGCUGCUGCUCACGGCAGGAGGCCCGAAACCAGAAGGCCUGAGCACUUGCCCCGUCCCCAAGAGAUGCACAGAGGCUGGAAGGGGCAGUGCAGGGGCUGACCAACCUGCUCAUGAAAGGAGGGUCCAGCUGGGCUUCCUGGGUCGAGUAGGGGUUCAGAAAGCUGUGAAACACUCAUUUCCUGCAUCAGGACUUACUUCGGUCCUGGAUGAAGAGUACUGAAGAUACAUGCCUAAAAUAUUCCUAACACCAGGAUUUGUGCAUGUGUUUCCUUCCCCAAGAAAGCUAUAAACAGCAAAAAUUCUGCUGUAAGCUUCCCUGUGUCCUCUCUCCCUCUCUUCCUUCCCCCUCCCCUAAAACUAAAAGGAAUGUUAAAAGACCCUUUUUCUGUGACCAGCGGACCUUAUCUAUGCUCCCAAUUCCAAUUCCUUGUGAACAUACUUUGUAAAGUCCUGUAAAAUCCUGUCUCUUUUGCCAUGCUGCUGCAAGGUCAUAAAGUAGAUAAAAUUAGAUAAAACCUAAGUUGCAAUUCUGUUUUUCCUCAAAAUCUAAGACAUGUCACAAAAUAAUUUACUGCCUUUGUUUCUCUCUCUGGUAACAUCUUCCCACCACAUGUAUUUCCCGCCUUAAAGAGAUUAAAAGGCAAUCACCCAAAACCAACAGUGGCUACCCUCUCCGGACCCCUUCCAUGCUGUGUAAGCUUUGUACUGUCACUCUGCUCAAUAAAAC
rnacentral:lncRNA from 10 species